rnacentral:rRNA from 1 species
AUGCUUCGUCUCCCCGCUCUCCUCCCUCUUAAACCCUCGGCCCCGGCCACCGGCUUAAACCCCACCCGGCGCAGCCAUGGCCACCGCGGCCCCAAACGCCUCCUCGCUUCCUCCACCACGCCGCCGCCACCGCCGCCGCCACCGCCGCGACGGACUCCCAGUCCAGCCGCGGCCCCGAAACCCCUGAAGCCCGAACCCCGCGUCGGCCCCCAGAAUCCCGAAGGCGUCACCGCGGAGUUCCCCACAACCAAGCCCCGCAAACCACGCCGCGGUCGCCGAAGCGAGGCGGCCGCCGUGGAGGACUUCGUCCGCGACCGCCUCGAGCAGGUCUUCGCCUCCAUCCAGGAGCGCGACCCCGAGGUCCUCCAAGGCAAAGGCGACAUCCUGAAGCCGAAGGAGGAGGAAGAGCGGGCUUCCGAUGCGGAGCCCGGGGAGGAAAACGGGGAGCAGAAGACGGUGGUGGAGGAGGAGGACCCGAGCUGGCCACUGGACGCCGACGUCGGAUGGGGGGUCCGCGCGUCGGAGUACUUCGACAAGCAUUCCAUCAAGAACGUGACGGUGGACGGCGUGGAGAUCGACUGGGAAGGAGAGGUCGACCGGGGCUGGGUCAAGGAGAUCAACUGCUUGGAGUGGGAGAGCUUCGCCUUCCACCCCAGCCCCCUUAUCGUCCUAGUCUUCGAGCGCUACAACAGGGCGGCUGACAAUUGGAGGUUUCUUCAAGAAUUGGAAAAGGCUAGUAAGGUAUACUGGGAUACAAAAGAUCGGCUACCUCCACGGACUGUGAAGAUUGAUCUGAAUAUCGAGAGAGACCUGGCGUAUGCACUCCAAGCAAAAGAAUGCCCUCAAUUGCUGUUCUUGAGAGGAAACAAGAUCCUAUACAGAGAAAAAGAGAUAAGAACAGCUGACGAACUAGUUCAAAUGAUUGCCUAUUUCUACUACAAUGCAAAGAGGCCAUCAUGUGUCAAUCCCGAAGCCCUUGCUCCUUCAUUCUAA